GAACGCACAUUGCGCCUCCUGGUAUUCCGGGAGGCACGCCUGUCCGAGCGCCAUUACACCCCCCAAGCCUUGCUUGAUGUUGGGCCAUGACGCGCUGUCAAGCCCCAAACCUUUAGGCGCCCCCUACUGGCCGCGAGCGUAGCAAGAAAUCUUUUUCCCUCGCUUCGCGUGUCCAUUGGGCGGGUCGCCGAUUGACCCCCUAAAUUUUACAAGGUUUGGCCUCGGAUCAGGCGGGGAUACCCGCUGAACUUAAG
rnacentral:misc_RNA from 1 species